AAAAGCCAGGAGGCGGGACAGGGGGCGGGCAUGGACACGCGAUCAGAUUCGCUACCGCAGAGCUCUAGCUCCGGAGCGCGCCAAGUUGAAGGCCAAAGUCGAGGUUGGGAUGCCCGAUGCCUGGCGCGGGGAGACGGAGGAAGCAAAGUGCUGCUGCCUGGUGGAAAUACAGUAUUAUAUAAUGACAUGCUACUAUGCAUCUCUACCUAACUCCUCGUCUGGUGAUGCCAUAUUGAAAUCAGCCAUACUGAGAGUAUUUACACACUGCUGAAGUCAGUAAAUGCUACAAAUCAAGGCUUGAAUGUAACCUACAUGAGAAAGAGUUGCCUUGCUCACUGCCGUAUCCCAGUAUCCCAAGAACCUUGGAGAUGCUCUAUGAAUACUGAAUGAAUCUGAGAGGAAACUAGCCCGAAGGGGGAAGGCUCUGGAAGCAAGCCCUCAUGGACCAACGGAGAAAAAGGAAACUGAAUCUUGGGGAGAUUAAGCAACUCUUUCAAGGUCAACCGGGGAGCGGCAGAACCAGAGUUCGAAGGAAACCUUUCUGAAUCUGACGUCUGCCCCUUCUAAAUUAGGACUCUCAUCUAUCAGCCUGUGAGAAAAAAUACAGAAAGCAUCAUUCAGGCAACACAUGAACUCAAGACACUGAGACUUCGCUAACCUUCCUCGCACACAAGGUCCUAAAGGAACUACCACACGCAUGUCCACAUUUGAUGCACAUAACAGACUCUCACCGCAUUGAAAUAAACCCCAGUAUGAUCAUAAUAGCUUUUUUCUUUCAAUUUUUAUUGAACACAAGUAUUCCGACAGAAUGCAAAGUCAAAAUUCUCAGUUAGUACUCAGUAUUUACACCAGUGAGAAUGGAAACAAAGGUGGUAUCGAUGUUUCACUUGGUAAAAAGUUUUAUAACAAGAGAGAAGGCCCCCGAAGUACAGAAUGCUGGGUAGGGAUG
rnacentral:lncRNA from 1 species